GUGGCAGACGGGUGAGUAACAUGUGGGUAUCUACCCUUUGGCCUGGAAUAACACGAGGAAACUUGUGCUAAUACUGGAUAAGUCUUUACGGAGAAAGCUUUAUGCACCAUUGGAUGAGCCCGCACUUGAUUAGUUUGUUGGUGGGGUAAUGGCCUACCAAGACUGUGAUCAAUAGCUGAUUUGAGAGGAUGAUCAGCCACAUUGGGACUGAGACACGGCCCAAACUCCUACGGGAGGCAGCAGUGGGGAAUCUUGCACAAUGGAGGAAACUCUGAUGCAGCGAUGCCGCGUGAGUGAAGAAGGCCUUUGGGUUGUAAAGCUCUUUCGUCGGGGAAGAAAAUGACUGUACCCGAAUAAGAAGGUCCGGCUAACUUCGUGCCAGCAGCCGCGGUAAUACGAAGGGACCUAGCGUAGUUCGGAAUUACUGGGCUUAAAGAGUUCGUAGGUUGUUGAAAAAGUUGGUGGUGAAAUCCCAGAGCUUAACUCUGGAACUGCCAUCAAAACUUUUCAGCUAGAGUAUGAUAGAGGAAAGCAGAAUUUCUAGUGUAGAGGUGAAAUUCGUAGAUAUUAGAAAGAAUACCAAUUGCGAAGGCAGCUUUCUGGAUCAUUACUGACACUGAGGAACGGAAGCAUGGGUAGCGAAGAGGAUU
rnacentral:rRNA from 1 species